UCCAGCUGAUCCUGCUGGCGGAUACUGCUAUCGAAUUCCGACUUAGCCAUGCAAGUCUUAGGAACCGGCGUGGUUCCUGGCGUACGGCUCAGUAACACGUAGUCAACCUGCCCUCAAGAGGCGGCAAUCCCGGGAAACUGGGGUCAAUCCGCCGUAACAAAUCCGAACUGGAAUUGUUGGAUUUGUAAUACGAGCAAUGGAAUGCAAUUGUUUCGCUUGAGGAUGGGACUGCGGCGGAUUAGGCAGUUGGCGGGGUAACGGCCCACCAAACCUACGAUCCGUACGGGCGUUGAGAGACGGAGCCCGGAGAAGGGUACUGAGAUAAGGACCCUAGCCCUACGGGGUGCAGCAGUCGCGAAACCUUUACAAUGCGCGAAAGCGUGAUAGGGGGAAUUCGAGUGCAAGCAAUGCUUGCUUUUGCCAGGUCUAAAAAGCUUGGCGAAUAAGAGGAGGGUAAGAUACGUGCCAGCCGCCGCGGUAAUACGUACUCCUCAAGUGGUAUCCACUAAUAUUGGGCCUAAAGCGUCUGUAGCCGGUUUAACGCGUCCUUGGUGAAAUCCAAGCGCUUAACGUUUGGAAUGGCCAAGGAUACGGUUAGGCUCGAGGUUGGAAGAGGUCAAGGGAAUUUCCGGGGUAACGGUGAAAUGUUGUGAUCCUGGAAGGACCACCAGUAGCGAAGGCGCUUGACCAGAACAAUCCUGACGGUGAGAGACGAAAGCUGGGGGAGCGACCCGGAUUAGAUACCCGGUUAGUCCCAGCCGUAAACGAUGCAGACUAGGUGUCCUUUUACCCACGAGGUAUUGGGGUGCCGCCGCGAAGGCAUUAAGUCUGCCGCCUGGGAAGUACGCUCGCAAGAGUGAAACUUAAUGGAAUUGGCGGGAGCUCACUACAAGGGGUGGAUGCUGCGGUUUAAUUGGACACAACGCCAGAUAACUCACCAGGGGCGACAGCAGGAUGAUGGACAGUCUGAAGGGCUUUCCUGACACGCUGAGAGGUGUUGUAUGGUCAUCGUCAGCUCGUACUAUAAAGCGUCCAGUUAACUCUGGCAACGGGCGAGACCCAUACUCCUAGUUGCAAUUCUCGGUUUUUCCGGGGAGCACUCUAGGGGGACUGCGAGGGCAACCUUGAGGAAGGAAUGGGCCACGGUAGAUCUGUAUGGCCCGAAUCUCCUGGGCAACACGCGGCAUACAAUGCGCAAGACAAAGAGACCCUAGCCCGAAAGGGUACGGAAAUCCCAUAACCUUGCGCUCAGUUCGGAUUGAGGUCUGUAACUCGGCCUCAUGAAGAUGGAAUCCCCAGUAAUCGCGCGUCAUAAUCACGCGGUGAAUAAGUCCCUGAGCUUUGCACACACCGCCCAUCAAGCCAAACGAAUAGAGCUCUGAUGAACCACUUUCUUUUAGAGAAUGGUGAUUCUGGGUUUUGUGAGUUGGGC
rnacentral:rRNA from 1 species